UGAUCGAUCAAAUGGUCUCCGGUCACUUCCCCAUCGAGAAUGCUGUACCAUGCCAAUGAUUCAUUUUCAAUCAAAAAAGCAGUGGAAUCCUAGGCCCUACCUGGCUCUUCCUCUACCAACACCAGCGAUUGCUCAGGCCAGCCAAUGCCGCAGCUUUGCCACGGACCAUGGAAGUCGCGGGUGGACUCGAUGGCACUGUCAAGGCGGAACAUGAUGCUUGGAGGUCUACACCAUUCAGCAGAUGAAGGACUCCUUCAUCUAGUUGAGAAAGAAUGAGUGGCUUUCCUCCAUCUAGGGACUGUCCAUCAUCGACUUGAGGUCCAUCGAUCAAACGAUAGAGAAAGAUAGAGCUCCGAGAAACGACGCGUGACGGCCUCAAUUCCUUUCGAUUCACUUCCACGAACACUUACGACGACGGAGAGGGAGAGGCUGUCGAUGAUGAUGGGCAACGACCGCCGCUGCCGACGCACGACG
rnacentral:lncRNA from 1 species